ACAACUUAGGAAGGAAGCUUGGACAUGGGCAAUUUGGAACAACUUUUCUUUGCGUGGAGAAAGGGACAGGGAAACAGUAUGCUUGCAAAUCCAUUGCGAAGAGGAAAUUAUCAACACAAGAUGAUGUGGAGGAUGUGAGGAGAGAAAUUCAGAUAAUGCAUCACUUGUCAGGUCAUCCUAAUGUUAUAUCAAUUAAAGGGGCUUAUGAAGAUGGAGUGUCAGUAAAUGUUGUGAUGGAAUUGUGUGCUGGAGGUGAGCUAUUUGACAGGAUUAUUAAGCGAGGACAUUAUACAGAAAAAAAGGCAGCUCAACUCACUAAGACUAUAGUUGGUGUUAUAGAAACUUGCCAUUCUUUGGGAGUCAUGCAUAGGGAUCUGAAGCCAGAGAAUUUUCUCUUUGUCAAUGGGGAGGAGGAUUCACCUCUCAAAGCAAUAGAUUUUGGAUUAUCAGUGUUCUUCAAGCCCGGGGAGAUAUUCACUGAUGUGGUUGGAAGCCCAUACUAUGUCGCAC
rnacentral:misc_RNA from 1 species